GUGAUAGUGGGUGCAGGUAUCUGUGGCCUUGCUACUGCCCUUGGUCUUGACAGAAAAGGAAUCAAAAGUCUUGUUUUGGAGAAAUCUCAUGCGUUAAGGGACACGGGUGCGGCGAUUUCAAUUUACCUUAAUGGUUGGCAUGCGCUCGACCACCUUGGUGUAGGAGUGGAGCUCCGCAAAAAAUCUAUCCUCAUAACAGAGACACAUGAUGUGUGGCUUAACAAGGAUGGGCUGAAGGUAACACCGAUCAGGUACUUUUAACAGAUUAUUGUAAAAGGAAAAAAAAAAAAAAAAUUCUUUACAUGGGAUUGUUUAAUUUGUGACGCACAUGAUUGCUUACUUUGACUGCAUUAAGUUUUUCGUAGCCUCAGGUAUGUAUGAAAUGUCUAUGUAGGGAUAUUCAUAAGUGA